GAUGAACGCUGGCGGCGUGCCUAAUACAUGCAAGUCGAGCGAACAGACGAGGAGCUUGCUCCUCUGACGUUAGCGGCGGACGGGUGAGUAACACGUGGAUAACCUACCUAUAAGACUGGGAUAACUUCGGGAAACCGGAGCUAAUACCGGAUAAUAUAUUGAACCGCAUGGUUCAAUAGUGAAAGACGGUUUUGCUGUCACUUAUAGAUGGAUCCGCGCCGCAUUAGCUAGUUGGUAAGGUAACGGCUUACCAAGGCGACGAUGCGUAGCCGACCUGAGAGGGAGGGGGGCAGCAAGGGAGGCGACAUACGGCAUGGGCUACGACGGGAGGGAGCAGUGGGGCAUGGUCAGGAAUGCUCGUAAGACCGAAGUAUCAUGGGAGCGGGGAAGAAGAAAGUUUUAGGAACGUAAACCCGUCUGAACGGUGAAAAAAAAAAAAGUCAGUAACAACGCCGGGCCUGAAGGUACCUAAUCAGAACGGCACGGCUAACUACUUG
rnacentral:rRNA from 1 species